rnacentral:rRNA from 1 species
GCUGGCGGCAGGCUUAACACAUGCAAGUCGAGCGCCCCGCAAGGGGAGCGGCAGACGGGAGAGUAACACGUGGGAACGUACCCUUCGGUUCGGAACAACCCAGGGAAACUUGGGCUAAUACCGGAUACGUCCGUAAGGAGAAAGAUUCAUCGCCGAAGGAUCGGCCCGCGUCUGAUUAGCUAGUUGGUGAGGUAACGGCUCACCAAGGCGACGAUCAGUAGCUGGUCUGAGAGGAUGAUCAGCCUCACUGGGACUGAGACACGGCCCAGACUCCUACGGGAGGCAGCAGUGGGGAAUAUUGGACAAUGGGCGCAAGCCUGAUCCAGCCAUGCCGCGUGGGUGAUGAAGGCCCUAGGGUUGUAAAGCCCUUUCGGCGGGGAAGAUAAUGACGGUACCCGCAGAAGAAGCCCCGGCUAACUUCGUGCCAGCAGCCGCGGUAAUACGAAGGGGGCUAGCGUUGCUCGGAAUCACUGGGCGUAAAGCGCACGUAGGCGGAUUGUUAAGUCAGGGGUGAAAUCCUGGAGCUCAACUCCAGAACUGCCUUUGAUACUGACGGUCUU